rnacentral:lncRNA from 1 species
UUGUAUCAUCUAAAAAUUAGAAAAAAUUAACAAAAAAACGAGAGGAAAACAUAAAUAACAUACUACCUCGACCAUUACUUUUAUAAUGCAUAUAGGUUUAUGAUUACAGUACAACCAAUACAUGAGAUUUACACAAGUAUCUUUUCUUGCUCAUGCGUCAACAAUCUAAAUUUGGGUUCUUAUUUUGUACAAUCGACCCUCACCCCCAACGUCAUUUUGGUAUAAACUUAAGAAAACACUUGGUACAAACUGCAUCGUACGUUGACUUUCCCCUAUCAAGUAGGCAUCAUCGACGAUCAACAUAUUCCAUCGCCACGCUUAGGCAACAACCGGAUACGAAGCACAUGUUGCAACACCUGCAAUCAAAAGAAACAACCACAAGUGAAUUCGAAUUUUCAACUUCGAAUAUGGAAAAGAAAUCGAAGAAGGAAGUUAGGUUUAUGAACUUACCACACAUGUUCUUCCCCAUUUCCAUCUUGAAAUAGCCACUGUCACCCCAAUCACCUCCCCAGGAGUUCUUGAUCAGC